AGUGAACGCUGGCGGCGUGCUUAACACAUGCGAGUCGAACGAGAACGGAAUAUAGCUUGCUAUAUUUGUCAGCUAAGUGGCGCACGGGUGAGUAAUGUAUAGAUAACCUGCCCUUAAGAAAGGAAUAACAGUUGGAAACGACUGCUAAUGCCCUAUAUGCCUUUAAUACAUAAGUAUGCAAGGGAAACGCUUUAGUGCUUAAGGAUGGGUCUGUAUGGUAUCAGCUUGUUGGUGAGGUAAUGGCCCACCAGGGCUAUGACGCCUAACUGGUUUGAGAGGAUGAUCAGUCACACUGGAACUGAGACACGGUCCAGACUCCUACGGGAGGCAGCAGUGGGGAAUAUUGCACAAUGGACGAAAGUCUGAUGCAGCAACGCCGCGUGGAGGAUGACACAUUUCGGUGCGUAAACUCCUUUUAUAUAGGAAGAUAAUGACGGUACUAUAUGAAUAAGCACCGGCUAACUCCGUGCCAGCCGCCGCCGUAA
rnacentral:rRNA from 1 species